UUCGCAACAGAACUAAAAGACCGCUACAUAUAUGAACAUCAUCAUCAGUUUAGUCGAUCAAAAAUUGUAGUCUUUAAACUAUUAGUGUAAACAAAGCAAUUUGUAGGUGUACGUUGUUAUGUUAAUGUAAAUUUGACUCGUUAUUUAGUCUUUAAACUAACUAAAUAUAACAAGUUGCAUAUUUAUUCUGCUGUUUUAAAAAUCUCUUUCAAUUGAUUGCAUCACAGCUUUUGUUAUGCUAAAACCUACGUAAGUCUUAUAUGUCAUCUCCACAUUCUAAAUCUUAUAAAUUCCCUUCGAUAGUUGGUUACAUUUUGUUCACCCAUGCCACCUGAUCUACAUUUGGAGAAAAACAACUUUAAACCAUCACAUAAAGCCCCCCCGACAACUAAUGUGACAUAUUUACUAUAUUAUUAUAGCGCCUGACGCGGUACUGUUCCCGUGAACAGUGACAGUUGGGUUUGGGCUUUUUUUCUCUCCUUGGGCUUUUGGGCCUGCGUCUCGCCGUUUUCUCAUUCUUUUUCUUGCUCUCUCUCGAUCUCUCUCGAAACUCCACCGAAUCGUUUUUUCUUCGUCUCUAUGCGUCCUCUCCCUCUUCUUCGUUCCUGCCCUUUUCGAAAGGAGAAGAGAGAUCGCUUCCUCAACUCUUUUCUUUCUCGCUUUCGUUCUUCAAACUCAACCAAAUCUCUUGAUUUAGAUUCAGACUCUUUCACCGUUCUGAAGUUUUCUGUUGGAAACGAAUAAGAGUAGGUACUGUGUUCUGAAUCCUUAUCUGCGACGUUUGUUAUAGUUUUUGGGAUUUUGGAUCUUCGAUUUGGUACAUGAUUAUGAGAUAUUUAGAUAUCUCGACAUCUAUUGGUUUUGUUGUUUUCAUUGAUCUUCAGCAGAUUUGAUUCUGACACCUCAAGGUCGAUUGGAUUGGUUUCAAGCUAGGAUCUCAGUGAAUUUGAUCUUUCCAGGUAAAGAAUUUGAUAUUUUCAACUUUUUCUCAUAACUGGGUUUGGACAUUUCUUCUGUUUCUCAAGGAUGCGUAUGGGUGUGUUGGGUUCUUUCUCUGUUUUGCUUGCAUGUGCCGAUGGUUUGAUUGGGAUCUUAAUAUGCUAUUAAGAGUAUUUCCCUUUAUUACAACAGGAUAACCAAUUUCAUUGGCAGCAUAUAUAUAUAUAUACAAUACUGAACCUAUAAUCAUAUGACAUGGAAAUUUUUAUCCUUCUUUUCAGGUUGAGUUGAGUUUCGCAGUCAAGCUAGCUGAUUGUAUUGUUAAUAUAUCAACUUUGAAAAGGUACUUUAACUCCAUUAGGCUCUACUGN
rnacentral:lncRNA from 1 species